AACGAACGCUGGCGGCAUGCCUAACACAUGCAAGUCGAACGAGACCUUCGGGUCUAGUGGCGCACGGGUGCGUAACGCGUGGGAACCUGCCCUUAGGUUCGGAAUAACUCCCCGAAAGGGGUGCCAAUACCGGAUAAUGUCUUCGGACCAAAGAUUUAUCGCCUUUGGAUGGGCCCGCGUUGGAUUAGCUAGUUGGUAGGGUAAAAGCCUACCAAGGCGACGAUCCAUAGCUGGUCUGAGAGGAUGAUCAGCCACACUGGGACUGGGACACGGCCCAGACUCCUACGGGAGGCAGCAGUGGGGAAUAUUGGACAAUGGGCGAAAGCCUGAUCCAGCAAUGCCGCGUGAGUGAUGAAGGCCUUAGGGUUGUAAAGCUCUUUUACCCGGGAUGAUAAUGACAGUACCGGGAGAAUAAGCUCCGGCUAACUCCGUG
rnacentral:rRNA from 1 species